CCUACGGGAGGCAGCAGUGAGGAAUAUUGGUCAAUGGACGAGAGUCUGAACCAGCCAAGUAGCGUGAAGGAUGACUGCCCUAUGGGUUGUAAACUUCUUUUAUAUGGGAAUAAAAUGUUCCACGUGUGGGAUUUUGUAUGUACCAUAUGAAUAAGGAUCGGCUAACUCCGUGCCAGCAGCCGCGGUAAUACGGAGGAUCCGAGCGUUAUCCGGAUUUAUUGGGUUUACAGGGAGCGUAGGUGGAUUGUUAAGUCAGUUGUGAAAGUUUGCGGCUCAACCGUAAAAUUGCAGUUGAAACUGGCAGUCUUGAGUACAGUAGAGGUGGGCGGAAUUCGUGGUGUAGCGGUGAAAUGCUUAGAUAUCACGAAGAACUCCGAGUGCGAAGGCAGUUCACUGGACUGCAACUGACACUGAGGCUCGAAAGUGUGGGUAUCAAACAGGAUUAGAUACCCUAGUAGUC
rnacentral:rRNA from 1 species